rnacentral:rRNA from 1 species
ACGAACGCUGGCGGCGUGCUUAACACAUGCAAGUCGAACGGAAAGGCCCUGCUUGCAGGGUACUCGAGUGGCGAACGGGUGAGUAACACGUGGGUGAUCUGCCCUGCACUUCGGGAUAAGCCUGGGAAACUGGGUCUAAUACCGGAUAGGAGCCAUUUUUAGUGUGAUGGUUGGAAAGUUUUUUCGGUGUAGGAUGAGCUCGCGGCCUAUCAGCUUGUUGGUGGGGUAAUGGCCUACCAAGGCGGCGACGGGUAGCCGGCCUGAGAGGGUGGACGGCCACACUGACACUGAGGUACGGCCCAGACUGCUACGAGAGGCAGCAGUGGGGAAGAUUGCACAAUGGGCGCCAGCCUGAUGCAGCGACGCCGCGUGGGGGAUGACGGCUUUCGGGUUGUAGACUCCUUUCGCUAGGGACGAAGCUUUUUGUGACGGUACCUAGAUAAGAAGCACCGGCUAACUACGUG